UUUCUUUUGCUGGCGACCGGCGCACGGGUGAGUAACACGUAUCCAACCUGCCCUUUACUCGGGGAUAGCCUUUCGAAAGAAAGAUUAAUACCCGAUAGUAUAAUGAUUCCGCAUGGUUUCAUUAUUAAAGGAUUCCGGUAAAGGAUGGGGAUGCGUUCCAUUAGGUUGUUGGUGAGGUAACGGCUCACCAAGCCUUCGAUGGAUAGGGGUUCUGAGAGGAAGGUCUCCCACAUUGGAACUGAGACACGGUCCAA
rnacentral:rRNA from 1 species